GUGUAUGUGUGUGUGUGUGUGUGUGUGUAUGGUACAACUAGGGAAAGACAGCACUCGAUGACUGGUAGAAAUGGACGCCACUGAGCCACUGCACAGUUGGCUUCAGUACCGGAAACCCAACCAAGUUGUGGCUUCCCAGUUUGCGCUUGUGAAUGUUGGUGCCCCUUUUCAACUCCCCAGGCAAGGCUGCAAACAUAUAGUCUAGAGUCUCUCUCAUUUUGACUUUGUAGCAAUGCCCUUCUAAUCAAUGCCUACCGAUUCUCCUCCUGCCUGCCCCCUACCUCAAGAAAUGAGAGGACUACUGAGAGCAUCAGCCCCAAAGAUUUGGUGUUCGGCUCAAAUUCAUGAUCUACCUUCUCCAAGUGUCAGCUUUCUCCUCUCUGAUGAUGACCUACUAUGCACCAUUUUGACUGUCUAUGGACUUACAGAACUUACCUCUCCAAGCGGGUGCUCUUCUGGGGUAUUGUGAUCAAGUAUGCAUUGAUCUCACCCAGAACCUUCCCUCUUUUGCAUCAUGUUUUUUCCAGUCCAAGGACGCCUUCACCCUGCCUCAUGAGGCAGCUUCUCUUUGGCACCACUCCUCCCUUCAGCCACGAUGUCGGAGUUCCUGAGCCCUGCCUCGUGUGCAUGAGGUCUGACCGGUGGGGAGGCGGGUAGAGUGAACGCUGAACCCCAGGUGUCACGGGGCAUGGCUCGCUGUGCUGCAAGAGUGCGUGGGGGUGGAAAUGCAAUCUCAUUGAAAAAUUAACUGAAACAGCUGCUGGCAAGCUCCGCUACAAAGUAACUUCAUGCAUUUCAGUCUUCAAAAUGACUUUUGGACAAUCUUUUGUUUAUCUCCAGCAUUGCUCUUCUCCAUUAGCAGAAAGAUACACACGCAUUAGCUUGUGUGUAUCUACAGGGACGCCUCCCUCUCUCUCCCCCUACUCUUUCCACCCUCCCCACCCCCAAAAGCUGAUGUGUUAAUUAGUGGGGAUGGUGCAUUGUUCAAACUGUCACAAUGUGUGAAGAAGCCAGACUGAAGAUGAGGUAGGCCAUCAGCAUGAAUUCCGUUCUCCAGGAAAGAUGGGAAAUUCUUGCGUGCCGGAGAGAGUAAUCACUUUAUUUCAGUCUCAGCUGCAUACCGGGUUUCGUCGGCUACUGUAAGGUUGAGUAAUCCCAGAUUGCUGGGGCUGCUCUCCCAUGCAUUAAAUGAGAGAAUAUGCAAAUACUAGGUAACCUGUAAGUGCUGAAUAAAGGUUAUCCUUUUAUCCUA